rnacentral:lncRNA from 1 species
GGUAAAGUUAGAGCGUAGAUCAGUUCUCCCGUUUCCCUGUGGAUACGAUAAAACCUUUAACCGGGUAAAAGCUUCAACGGUAUCCGUGCGCUUGCGGAUUAUCUGUGUGUGUAUAAAUACCAUAGUACACUCUAGUGCCACGCUGGGGAUGACAACCUAGUAUUCAAGUGGUGUUAGCAAGUGUCAACAUUGGCAUUCCCCAAACAAUCAC